rnacentral:rRNA from 1 species
GUGAGGAAUAUUGCGCAAUGGACGAAAGUCUGACGCAGCCAUGCCGCGUGAAGGAUUGACGGCCCUAUGGGUUGUAAACUUCUUUUGUAUAGGAAUAAACCCUCGUUCGUGAACGAGGCUGAAGGUACUAUAAGAAUAAGCACCGGCUAACUCCGUGCCAGCAGCCGCGGUAAUACGGAGGGUGCAAGCGUUAUCCGGAUUUAUUGGGUUUAAUGGGUCCGUAGGCGGAUCGUUAAGUCAGUGGUGAAAUCCUACCGCUCAACGGUAGAACUGCCAUUGAUACUGGCGAUCUUGAGUAUGUAUGAAGUUGGCGGAAUGUGUGGUGUAGCGGUGAAAUGCUUAGAUAUCACACAGAACACCGAUUGCGAAGGCAGCUGACUAAUACACAACUGACGCUGAGGGACGAAAGUGUGGGGAUCAAACAGGAUUAGAUACCCCUGUAGUCC